rnacentral:lncRNA from 1 species
CUUGUAGAUGUUUUUGUCCGAGUGAUGGUUGAUGUGUUUCCUGAGCUGAAGGACAAUGAAAAGAAGAUUAAAGAUAUAAUUAAAGAAGAAGAUCCAAGCUUUGAGAACACUCUAGCGAUGGUAAUAUUGGUUGCCAGGAGUAUUUGCAUAUCAGUGACAUCAAUUUGGCCCAAGUGAUGUUUGUUGAAGUAAUUUCAUUGCAAUCAAAUCCGAGUGUUUGCACACUCUUAGGCAGUGUUUUAUCCUUGUAAACAUGUGUUAGUCUCAAAGUAAUUUAGCUUGUUUGUUAUCAGAUAACCUAAAUUGUUUUAUCCUUGUAAACAUGUGUUAGUAUCAAAGUAAUUUAGCUUGUUUGUUAUCAGAUAACCUAAAUUUCUGUUGUUGCCGGAGGCGCUGGGCCAGUUUAUACCUUGUAUCUAAUGUACUGCUGUUUUGCUCGUGAGAUACUGCUAAAGGCUUACUUUAUAUAUAUAAUAUAUAUUAACGUGUUGUGCUGAGUAACCAGAUAGUUUCUUGUUUUGAGGCAACACAUCCAGGGUGAUAGUUUCAAUCUUGGUUUACAUCAGCUUAGUUCAAUCACCAUAAUUAGCAUACAUGAUAAAUUGUCUCAUCAUUUCU